GGCCGCCUGGCGAAAUGGUAUCGCGUCUGACUACGACUAUCAGGAGAUUGCAGGUUCGAGCCCUGCGGUGGUCA
rnacentral:tRNA from 1 species